rnacentral:rRNA from 1 species
UACGGAAGGGGCAAGCGUUGUUCGGAAUCAUUGGGCGUAAAGGGCGCGUAGGUGGUUCUGUAUGUCUACCGUGAAAGCGUACGGCUCAACCGUAUUUUGUCGGUGGAAACUGCAAGACUUGAGGCUGGGAGGGGCUGGUGGAAUUCCCUGUGUAGCGGUGAAAUGCGUAGAGAUGGGGGAGAACACUCGUGGCGAAGGCGGCCAGCUAGACCAGUUCUGACACUGAGGCGCGACAGCGUGGGGAGCAAACAGG